CUGUGCAAAGGUAGCAUAAUCAUUAGUUUUUUAAUUGAAGACUUGUAUGAAGGGUCCGACAAAGUAAAAGCUGUCUUUAAUUUUAUUUUUGAAAUUAACUUUUAAGUGAAAAGGCUUAAGUAAAUUUAAGGGACGAUAAGACCCUAUAAAUCUUUAUAUUAAUUUAUUAUUUUAAAAUUUAAUAGGUUUUGUUUAUAAAAUAAAUAAGUAAAUAAUAUUUUAUUGGGGUGAUAAGAAUAUAAAAAAACUGUUCUUAAUUAAAACAAAGUUAUUUGUUAAGAAAAAGAUAAUUGAUCCUUUAUUAAGAUUAAAAGUUUAAGUUACUUUAGGGAUAACAGCGUUAUUUUUUUUGAGAGUUCUUAUCGAAAAAAAAGUUUGCGACCUCGAUGUUGAAUUAAAAUUUCUUUCCGGUGUAGAAGUUGUAGAAGAGAGUCUGUUCGACUUUUAAAAUUUU
rnacentral:rRNA from 1 species